rnacentral:rRNA from 1 species
GAUGAACGCUGGCGGCGUGCCUAAUACAUGCAAGUCGAGCGAACAGACGAGGAGCUUGCUCCUCUGACGUUAGCGGCGGACGGGUGAGUAACACGUGGAUAACCUACCUAUAAGACUGGGAUAACUUCGGGAAACCGGAGCUAAUACCGGAUAACAUGUUGAACCGCAUGGUUCAACAGUGAAAGACGGUCUUGCUGUCACUUAUAGGUGGAUCCGCGCCGCAUUAGCUAGUUGGUAAGGUAACGGCUUACCAAGGCAACGAUGCGUAGCCGACCUGAGAGGGUGAUCGGCCACACUGGAACUGAGACACGGUCCAGACUCCUACGGGAGGCAGCAGUAGGGAAUCUUCCGCAAUGGGCGAAAGCCUGACGGAGCAACGCCGCGUGAGUGAAGAAGGUCUUCGGAUCGUAAAACUCUGUUAUUAGGGAAGAACAAAUGUGUAAGUAACUAUGCACGUCUUGACGGUACCUAAUCAGAAAGCCACGGCUAACUACGUG